UGUAUUGAUAAUGCUAUGUGGUUGAAGUUCCUACUGUGUGCCGUGUGUGCUUGAAGUAUCUACAAUUACCAUGAUGCCUUUUCCCCUUGUUUGGUAACAAUGUAUGUUUCCUGAGGGAAUUAUUAUUAUUUUUUUCAAUGUUGUACCCAAUCCUGUGUGAGGAGGAGAGGUAGUUUUUUUUAUUCAGGCUAGUUGGAUUUUAGGAGGCAGGAAUUGGAAGUCUUCUGCCUGCUACAGAGAGGAUUAUCAGAGUUGUUCACGAUAGACACUGGCAACGACGACACCUGAGACUUAGCUCAUUUUUGUAACAAGCGUUAGCUUACCUAUUUAACUUCGUCUACGGUGCCUGUUGAAGAAAGGCUCGAGGGAAGUUUUGGCGCUAGGUUCACCGUCAUAGAGCUGAUAGCUGAAGUUAGUAAGUUAGCCUCCAUGAACUUCAUCCUGUCUCUCAAGCGUCAUGGACUACUGAAUUCGCGAUGAGCCUGCUACCAGGUUUACGACUGUAAUAGCGAGAAUGAAUGUUUAUUUCAUUUUGUAUUGGAUUUCAUUCUCCAAUGGGAGUACAAAGAAUUCCGGAUUUCUUCACGUGCACCAAGGAUAUUUUUGGUGUGGCUUCUCAGACUUCAACGUCAUGAUCCCGCCCUCACAGCAGAACGCCCUCUUGGAUAAAGGCAACCUCUCCACAAACAACUCCAGGUUCCCUUUAACAGUCACCUGUCGAAAGCAAGAUGUGUUGCGGAGAGAGCUUUUGGCAUCCUUAAGGGGAGGUGAUCACCUGCUACAGAGUCCUGAGUCCUGCACAACAUCUGUCUGAGCAAUGAGGACUUACUGGAACAAGAACAUGUUGAUGUGGAGGGAGCAGCUGGGGACCAUCCAGAACCAGCACCAGCGCCUCCAGGCACCAUCUGUGGAGCAGAGGACAGACACGGGACGACGAUGCUUUGUUAUGCACCAGAGCAUUAAUUGAUUAAAUAAAUAAUUUGGC
rnacentral:lncRNA from 1 species